AUAGUUAAUUGCAAUCCUCUACUGUGAAUAUAUUUAAAGGUUGAUUUUAGUUGUGAACAGUUGGUACAUGUGCCUCUAUAAAGUAUGAGAACUCCCGUAUAUCUGUUGGCUGUUUUAUUAUGGAUUAACCUAAUCCAAGCUGAUGUCUUUUUUCAUCAUGGAGAUACUCAAGUACGCUAUGUGACCAAGACCAAGAAUGGCGAUGUGAAUAAAAGGGCGGAUUGUAGCUGUUAUUGCAAACGGAAGUGGAAGAAGGAUACGUGGGAUUGUUGUACAUGCUCCUGGACAGAUAAUAUCUGUUUCCCUGGUGACGUCAGUGUUACCCUGGAAUCAGGCAAGGUCAUUGCCAUGGAUAAAUUGAAACAAGGACAUAGAGUUUUGGCGGUCACUGCAGAAGGUCAACUUGUGUUUAGUGAAGUAAAGACGUUCCUCAAACGUUAUCCAGACAAUAUGGCCGUCUACUUAGAUUUGAUAACAGAAGAUCAGCAGACGAUAUCGUUAUCGGAAAGUCACGUGAUAUUUAGUUCCACAACCAAUAAUACUAAAGAAAUGAUUCCAAAUUUUGCUGGAAGAGUAAAUAUAGGUGAUUAUUUAUUCACUACAGAUAACUGUAAAAUUGGGAUAUGUCAAGUUAAAGUUAAAUCAAUUACACACAAUGUUAGAAAAGGCGUCUACGUUCCGCUUACAGAUGAAGGCACGGUGGUUGUAAACAAAAUGGCGGCGUCUUGUUACAGCUCCAUCAAUCACCACCUAGCUCACCUGUUCAUGACACCAAUCAGAAGAUAUCCAUGGCUGUUGGGAGAUUAUCAACAACAAGGCUAUAGUCCAUUUAUAAGUUUCUUAAAGGACUUUGGUCACUGGAUUCUACCAAAUAAUAUGCAAUUCGAUUUAAGUAAAGAAGGAUUCAUGGCUGCCAGAACUCAAACUGAGCUAUAAGCAUCGUGUAUUUAGGAGUUGAUCCAUAUACGUUUCUUGUGUUUAAUACUUAUAAUGUUUUGUGUGACUUUUAUGGAUUUUGAGAGAAUGAAUUGUCUAAUGAUUCUUAAUAUAAUGUCACGUUUAA